CCCCUACAGCGCCACAGGGAAACAACAAGGACAAACGGUAAACGGACUGCAUUUAUACCGCGCCUUUCUAACUAGUGGCCACUCAGUGCUUUACAAUAUAGGCUAACAUUCACCCAUUCACACAGCGAUGGCAGGGUCAACCACGCAGGGCGACCGCCAGCUCCUCAGGAGCAGUCAGGGUGAGGCGUCUCGCCCAGGGACGCCUCCACACUCCUGAGCCACAUACCGCCCGAGAGAUGAGAUUAGAACCAACUCACGCAGCAGUGCAGAACGUUGCCGUUUCAAUUUCCACGAUUGACCACUGGGUGCUCUUAGCCCAAAGCCAUUUCAGCCUAGAUAUAUGAUGGAUAGAUCAGUCACACACAACACUAAGGGGGAUGGUGCUGAAAUGGGCCUCUAGAUAAGAAGGUCAGGUUAUGCAAAGGACUACAAUGACGAGCUUCAAAUCAGAAUACAGAGGCAAAAGUACAAGAAAGCAAGACAUCGGCGAUCACAACUGUCUCAAAAACACACCCUCUAAGCACUAUAACAACACGUGUGAAUGUUGUCACCAAUUACAUUUUUCCAUCACAGUAUGCUUGGUACCUUGCCAAGGAGGCAACGUUUGACUUCACUGUUGUAAGUAGGCAUUACAUUAAAUGAAAAAAGCUGACGAUUGAAAAGAUACGUUUAAAAUAAGAAGUGGAUUUUUGAAGGUUACAAUAUCGAAAAACUCAUACUUGUAUACAUAUUUUAUCAUUGUCAAUUCUUGGAAUAUCCCCUUACUUUAGAAAGACAUGCCUGUCCUCAGAAAAUGGUGGUGCACAGUACUGCUUGAGAACUUCCAUCUGGAUGGGCACGGCAGAAGGUUCCCACACUUCAUGGAGGAGGCCAAACAAAUGGCGGCUGAACUACUUCCAGUCUUCAGACUGAAGCGAAAAAGAGAAUGAGUUGAAGCUGAUGGCAGUCAGCAUGAAGAAGCUAUAUCUUUUGGCUUCUGUAGAUUAUUUGUUAAAUAAAUUGUGAAGAAACUUUGGUGUGGUUAUUCUUCAAUGUAUAUUUAUAUCAAAUUAUGAUGGUAUACUUUACAAAAAAAUUAAUGUGAUUCAAUCAGACAUAUUAAAACAAUUACUUAAUUCUAAUUACUUAAUUCUAAUGGUCAAUUACUCAAUGAGUAAAGUGUAUAAUACACAAUUCCAUUAAAUAAUUGUCUACACCCUAAAUCAGUUUUUUCGUCUAUAUAACGUUAAUAAAAUUAAGCUAUAAAAA